GUUGAUGAUGUAGCUGUUCAGUUGAGGCUUCCCAGUAUUGUUCUUCGUACUUUUAGUGCUGCAUAUUUGCACUCUAUGAUCACCAUUCUUCAGCAACCAGAAAAAUAUUUUCCUUUUGAAGGUAUGAUGAAAGCAGACACAUCUGUUGCAUGAUUUAGUCGAAAAAUCAUUUCAAAUUCAAAACCAUAACAACAACUAAGCUUGUUUGCCGUUCAUAGUCAGCAUCUAAGGACAACAAUAUAUGACAAAAAUAAUUGUAAGUACUAGCAGUAAUAGGGCCAAAAGGCUCCUAGAAAACAUAGGGCCUAAAGUAAACAUAUUAACAUGACUGAGAUAUAUUCUCCACUAAUUAUAGUUUAGACUAUAGAAUUUUUCUUUCCUUAUGUUCCAACUUUCAUUGUUGAAAAAAAUUAGAAUCAAGAAGAAGGGUAACUUUCUGAAACAAUAACUAUUAAUUGAGUGACCAUGUGAGAAAUCAACCAAAUAUCUUUCACUAAGUCUACAUUGAUUACUCAAUUCAAUCGCAGAUUCUCAGCUGCUGGAUCCGUUACCGGAGCUUCAUCCCCUCAGGUUCAAGGAUGUACCAUUUUCUGUCGUCAAUAAUACAGUUCCAGAACCGAUUCUAGACUUCUGUAGAGUAAUGAUCGAUACAGGAUCAUCUGUUGCGACUGUUUGUAAUACGAUGCAAGACUUGGAGAAUUCAUUGUUGUUACGCCUUCAAGAACAUUACAAGGUGCCCUUCUUUCCAAUAGGCCCUCUUCACAAAAUGGCGCCUAUGACCUUGUCGACUAGCAUACUAGAAGAAGACAACAGCUGCAUCGAGUGGCUCGACAGACAAGCUCCUAACUCUGUUCUCUAUGUCAGCUUGGGUAGCCUAGCGAGGAUUGAUGACACAGAGCUAAUUGAGACUGCUUGGGGAUUAGCCAACAGUGAUCAACCGUUCUUGUGGGUUAUUAGACCUGGCUCUGUCUCUGGCUUUCAAUGUGCUGAGGCACUGCCCGAUUAUUAUGAGAAAAUGGUAGGAGAAAGAGGCCGAAUAGUGAAAUGGGCACCGCAAAAACAGGUACUUGCACAUCCCGCGGUCGCAGGCUUUUUCACGCAUUGUGGUUGGAAUUCCACGCUUGAAGCUAUUUUGGAAGAAGUCCCUCUGUUGUGCAGGCCUAUUCUAGGUGACCAACCAGUGAACGCGAGGUAUCUGAGCCAAAUAUAUAAGGUUGGGUUCGAAUUGGAGGUGUUCGAGAGAACAAUUAUAGAGAAAACAGUAAGAAAACUCAUGUUGAGUGAAGAAGGCAAAGAUCUGAAGAAAAGGAUAAUAGACAUGAAACAAAGCAUAGUUGCUGGUAUGCAGACUGAUGGUACUUCACAUAAGAACCUGAAUGAUUUGGUAGACUUCAUUUCUGCCUUGCCAUCACGGCUCGCUCCUCCAACGCCUGUCGUUGGGACAGUCA
rnacentral:lncRNA from 1 species